rnacentral:rRNA from 1 species
CGCGGCCUAUCAGCUUGUUGGUGAGGCGGUGGCUCACCAAGGCGUCGACGGGUAGCCGGCCUGAGAGGGUGACCGGCCACAUUGGGACUGAGAUACGGCCCAGACUCCUACGGGAGGCAGCAGUGGGGAAUAUUGCACAAUGGGCGAAAGCCUGAUGCAGCAACGCCGCGUGCGGGAUGACGGCCUUCGGGUUGUAAACCGCUUUCGCCAGGGACGAAGGGCCUUUCGGGGUUUGACGGUACCUGGAGAAGAAGCACCGGCUAACUACGUGCCAGCAGCCGCGGUGAUACGUAGGGUGCGAGCGUUGUCCGGAUUUAUUGGGCGUAAAGAGCUCGUAGGUGGUUGAUCGCGUCGGAAGUGAAAACUUGGGGCUUAACCCUGGGCGUGCUUUCGAUACGGGUUGACUUGAGGAAGGUAGGGGAGAAUGGAAUUCCUGGUGGAGCGGUGGAAUGCGCAGAUAUCAGGAGGAACACCAGUGGCGAAGGCGGUUCUCUGGACCUUUCCUGACGCUGAGGAGCGAAAGCGUGGGGAGCAAACAGGCUUAGAUACCCUGGUAGUCCACGCUGUAAACGGUGGGUACUAGGUGUGGGGUCCAUUCCACGGAUUCCGUGCCGUAGCUAACGCAUUAAGUACCCCGCCUGGGGAGUACGG